GCUCAGUAGCGUUGCGUUUGGCCCCGGAGGUCAGGAAUGAUGGUGGUCAUGGGAGAAAGAGGUCUUGGGAAUACUACGGUGGUGAGUACGUGAAGUUAAGGACCCGGUAAAAUUGGCCUCUGAUACGCUUAAGCAAAUUCAAACUCGACGAGAGCUGGCCCAGUUGCAAGCAACCGCCCAGUUGCAGACCUCCCAAAUCAGAACUGGCAUCUUAGCAAGAUCUGCAGCAAGAGCAUCCAAGAUUGAAAACGUGGUGAAGAGUUGACAGGAAGACUAUGAACUGCC